rnacentral:lncRNA from 1 species
CAACCCAGGAUGAGUGGUCCACAUUGUGUCUCAACUUCAAAAAUUCUAUGACUUCUCGCUAGGACUACUUUUGCCAAAGUUUUACUAAAUUGUAAUACAGUGAUGUAUCAUCUCUAAUUUUACUUAGAGCGAUCAAUCCUAUUUUGACUCGCACUCAGACUUCAUAAGUACUUGACUGUACCCAGAAACUUUUUAUCAUUGAAUUAAAAAUUUGGAUAAUCUGGUACCAAAGCACAGUGAGUUGCUUAUAAGUCAUCAAGACAGCCUA